UUAAACGACAAAAAUUUCCAAUAAUUCGUCCAGCAAAAUUAAUUUCCCACCAUUUUUUUCAACAAAAUAAAUAUUUCAGGUGACCUUACCCAACGAGCAUCUGGGGUUUGCCUGACGAAAUUUUAGGAUUUUCUACAUAUGUUAGAAAAUUAAAGCCUUUUGCCUGACGAAUCUUCCGUCGGCCAAAGGUUUUUAAAUUUUUAUAACAUUGAGAGUUUCUUCUUCCUCUUUCUCGCGACGUUGCAACCCUCUCUCUGCAAUCUAUUCUCUCUGAGUCCUCUCUCUCAGUGACCCAACAUCAUGCCACCACCACGCAAUCCUUAUCUUCUUUCUUAGUUCUCUCUCUGCAAUCGCCACUACUGUGUCGUGAGCCACACAAUCCCUCGCUCCUCCGCGUGCCGUGAGCCACCACCAUGUCACCACUGUGAGCCAACCACCACGCCACCAUUGUACUACCUAUCUAUAUUUCUCUCACUUUAAGUUUUUUAUUUCGAUUUCAUUUUUUGUUUGUUUUGUGAUUUCGAUUCAAUUUGGUUGUGAAUUUAAUUUUGUUGUGAAUCUAAAUGUGAAAUUGUUGUGAAAUUUAGAUGUGGAUUCGGUUUACUGGGUGGUUUUAGGUGGUUAUAGGGUAGUGUGGGUACGGGGUAGUUUUAGGUGGAACAGGGCAGGUACGUAAAAUGGGGGUAUGGUGGUGGUUUUAGGUUAUGGGGAUGGGGUAAUGGCGUGGGGGAGGUGGUCGAACACAUUAGAAAUUAUUUGCAAUUUUAGAAAUUAUGUGAAAUUUUGGAAAUAUGUGUACUUUUAGAAAUUAUUUGAAACCAUAGGUAAUUUUAGAAAUUGUUCGAAAUUUGAGGAAACAUUAGAAAUUAUUUGAAUUUUAGCAAAUUUAGAAAAUAUGUGAUUUUUUUUCACAAGUGUCUUCGCACUUGAUCACUAGUGGUUGUCGUUCUACCUCCGCGUCUGCUCAAAGUGAGCGGUCAGCCCCAGCGCCACUCCAAUGGCCAGCGGGACCUAGGCUGCCGGUGUCGAGUAGGCCACUGGCGAGAGCACUUGUGAACCAUUCACCUAGGCCACUCGAUGUGCCAGGAGACUUCAUAGCUGCAGUCUUCACGAGCCUGUGGCAGCCCUUCCUUGCCCCAUCCCACCCUUAUUAAAGCAGCUUUAGUGCAUAGGCCGAUUCAGCGAUCGUGGAGGAGGUGGGGAAUGGAGAUAUCCUUACCCGCCCAAAAACCAAAAAAAAAAAAAAAAAAAACUAUAAGGAUUUGUAGUGGGUUGCUAGCAAUUAGAUCACUCGAGUGAAUAAAAGCAUAUUCGAGUUAUAUGCUUCCCCAGUCACUGUUGAGCAGGUGCCAAAGUCAAUAGUUUGUUGACUCACAACAUAGGUGCCAUCAUCUGCACCAAAUGCCCCAUGAUCGCCGAUUCCUAGAAGACGCACGGCCCCUUGAUCCGUGUUGAGAAGAACCGACAGCUUUCGGCAAACUUCUAGUGGGACAAUUGGGACAAUGCUUGUUUCAAUUACAUAGACCAUGUGUUUAGGGAGCCGUAUAAGGAGUGGAAAUGCGAGAUGCACAAGUACUACACAUGUUGUGCGUCGCCUAAUGCAACUCUUACAGAUUCACCCCAGGAGUUUGUGGAGAGGGUGGACGAGUGGCAUUGGCUAUACAUUCAUUUUCAGAAUGAAAAUUUUCAUGUCAUUAAAUUUUAUUUAUAUUUUAAUUUUAGUUCAAUUUUUAUAUAUUUUUUUAGUUAAGGUUAAUUAAUAUUUUUAGUGGAUAGAAAAAAUUGGCGGCAAAUAAUAGUAACCAAGAGAAGAAGGCGUACCUUCACCACUUCGGUUCUUGACCCUUAUCUUAUAAGGUCAAGGAACGGCGAACGACUGGUUAUCAUUUCUUGCAGGUAGAGUUUUUCGGGGAGACGCAUGCCAAUUAUGGCAUCGAGGCUUUUAUGAUGCAAAAGAAGGACAAGUACCUCGCUAACCUCUCUUAGCAACAACAAAUGUGUCUAUGGAAGGGUUGGGCGAUUGAAAGGCAACGAACUUCCCAGUGUAGGAUAGAGUUAAAGUUCAUGAACUCAGGGGAUCUUCUUCUUCUUCAGCAAGCUCUAAUCAUUGGACUGAGACUGAUUUCAGACUUCAACAGGUGGAGAUGGAGCUAGCUUGCUAGAUUGACUAGUCAAAUACACCAGUCAACUAAGUACAAAUUCAUUAGUUACCCAAACACAAAUCCAGCAACAAAACUUAGUUUACUUAAGUUAUCCUAGUCAACAACAACCUAAUGCAUUACUCAUAAUCAUGGAAUGUAAACUUAAGCACAUACACGUAUCAAAUAACAAGCCAUAGAAUGCAUGUAUCAUAGCUAAUAAAUUAAAUAUGUGGACAAGAUUAAGCAAUAAAGAACACAUGAAGUUUUGACCGAAAAA